GUGGUUGUAGAGAGGGUGUUAUAGUGGUUUUAGGGAGGUGGUUGUAGAGAGGGUGUUAUAGUGGUUUUAGGGAGGGUGGUUUGGAGGCGGUGG